rnacentral:lncRNA from 13 species
UACAUAUUCUUUAUCCCUUUACACUUGUGUGUGUAUAAGGUAGUAGUUUUGGAAUUGUUAGGCAAGAUUACUCGUUGGUUAUUACUGCAUUGUCGGAACUAGAAGCACAAGCAUUUCGCUACAGGAAUGACUAUGGUAGAAACAGGACCUGUCACUGGGCAGGGCAGGGCAGGGACUCAGGGAGAAUGACUAUGGUAGAAACAGGACCUGUCACUGGGCAGGGCAGGGACUCAGGAGGAAUGACUAUGGUAGAAACAGGACCUGUCACUGGGCAGGGCAGGGCAGGGACUCAGGAGGAAUGACUAUGGUAGAAACAGGACCUGUCACUGGGCCAGAUCAAAAAGGGUAACACCCACAAAUAUGGUUGAAACUCAACAAAGGACCUUAGUGACAAUGAUUCAUAUAUAGAUGCAGCUUCUCCUUCAGAUUCAUCUAUGAUGAGUUCCAGAAACCAACCAGUUUCAAGCUGAAGGCAAUGUGCUUUUGNNNNNNNNNNNNNNNNNNNNNNNUGGGUGAAUUUUGGCCCAUUCCUCCUGACAGAGCUGGUGUAACUGAGUCAGGUUUGUAGGCCUCCUUGCUCGCACACACUUUUUCAGUUCUGCCCACACAUUUUCUAUAGGAUUGAGGUCAGGGCUUUGUGAUGGCCACUCCAAUACCUUGCCUUUGUUGUCCUUAAGCCAUUUUGCCACAACUUUGGAAGUAUGCUUGGGGUCAUUGUCCAUUUGGAAGACGCAUUUGCGACCAAGCUUUAACUUCCUGACUAAUGUCUUGAGAUGUUGCUUCAAUAUAUCCACAUAAUUUCCCCACCUCAUGAUGCCAUCUAUUUUGUGAAGUGCACCAGUCCCUCCUGCAACAAAGCAGUCCCACAACAUGAUGCUCCCACCCCCACAACAU